UGCAGUCGAGCGGAUCUUCAUUAGCUUGCUUUUGAAGAUCAGCGGCGGACGGGUGAGUAACACGUGGGCAACCUGCCUGUAAGACUGGGAUAACUUCGGGAAACCGGAGCUAAUACCGGAUAAUCCUUUCCCUCUCAUGAGGGAAAGCUGAAAGACGGUUUCGGCUGUCACUUACAGAUGGGCCCGCGGCGCAUUAGCUAGUUGGUGAGGUAACGGCUCACCAAGGCAACGAUGCGUAGCCGACCUGAGAGGGUGAUCGGCCACACUGGGACUGAGACACGGCCCAGACUCCUACGGGAGGCAGCAGUAGGGAAUCUUCCGCAAUGGACGAAAGUCUGACGGAGCAACGCCGCGUGAG
rnacentral:rRNA from 2 species